rnacentral:Y_RNA from 1 species
GGCUGGUCUGAAGGUAGUGAGUUAUCACAGUUGAUUGUUCACAAUCAGUUGCAGAUUGAAAACUCAUGUUCCACACUUCCUCUCUUCUCACUACCGUAUUUGCCGAGUCCAAG